AGGAUGGUGACUUACAAUGGGGAGUAGUUUUCUCUUAGGUACAAACAGUUUGCAGCUGAAUGCAGAGGAGGUUUGGUUUCUGUGCACCUCAUGUGUACUGUGAAAGUGACUAACUGCAUGAUUCAUUUUGCACCUGAGAAGGAAGCACAUCAACUUGUGGUUCUGCUACUAAAAUCAUUUGUUUAAAUGGCAAUUCUUGUUUCUGAAUCCUGAUGAUAAUUAGGUUUUACUAAUUGUAAGUUUGGAACAUCUGUAGAUUCAGGAAUAUUUCAGCAGUUUCUGACAUCAGUUUUAAUGUCUUUCCUCAUGAUUGUAGAAACAUGUACUUCUCUACAAAAAGAAGAAUAAUGCUUCUAGUGGGAGGUGUCCCUGCCUAUGGCAACCUCAUCCAAUCUGUCAAUGCUUUUUUUAAAUAGUAUACUGCAUAUAGUAUAAGUACUUGGGCAUGAAUGCUGUCAGUAGAUAAAACGCAGAAUAAAAUUAAAUGACCUUAUGAACCAGGAAGGCAUAUAAUAUUUUCAAUGUUGAUAUAAACAUCAGCUAGGAGAAGGGACAGCAUUGAUAAACAGUGUCAAUAGCUAGGUUUAAUCUUUGUCAAGAUGAAACAGAUGCACUGGAUUCCGAAUAACUUUGCUAUUGGCUGCAUUGACUAAGAAAUGAGCCUCUUGACUAUUUCAGGCAUUGGAACAAACAUAUAUGCACUAAAAGCUGAACAUGAACUCUUUCUGUUUACUGGGUAAAUGUGUACUUCAUGCUUCAAGAAAUACCCAGCCUUUGUCUUUGAUGUUUUUUCUUUCCUGCUUUGCAACUCAACAUCUGUACUUUCACACUUAGCUCAGAAUAAGUUUUCCAACUAUGGUCAUCCAAACAAAGCUACCUAUCAUUGGUUGAUAUUGACCUAACUGCAUUAUACCUUAGCUCCUGCCUUCAGCUUAAAUUCCUGCAGGACCAGCUUAGCAGUUUAACUGAAGGUACUUGUUGCUUGUAACACACCUUUGAAUUUGCAUUACUACCUUGCAAGAAGAGAAAAUUUAUUCUGGAACUAGGAUAUGUUACUUUUAUGUAUAUUUUGGAAAAUUAAAGGGAAAUAAGUAGCUUUCCAUUCCCUUUCCUCCUCAUGCAAAGAAAUGAAGCCAUUUUGGAGAUGGAUAUUUAAGUUUUGUGGCAUGGAUGGGAUUAUUUAGGAUCAUUCUAGCAACUCCUGAGAUGCAGAACCUUCAGUGGCAAGAGACAAGAGGCAGUCUUGUAAUUACAGCUCUGACCUGAAGGACAUGCUCUCUCCAAGUAUGACUUCAUUCAGGUAGUAAGACCAAGAACUGCAUUAAAAAACAGGAAGAUUGGCCCUAGGCAGACAGGGAAAAAAACUGUGGUGAAGGGAUAUUCAGAAAAUCAUCGUGAUUCUCUGCAAGAUCCUUUGAGGAACUCCACUACAAGAAAACAAAAAUGAUAUACUCUAGAGGGGUGAUAUUUUUCUAAUGGAUCUCAGUGCUUCAUCAUCUAGUUUGCCAGCCCACGUCAGCCAUGAGAGUAUAUUUGGUAUAAGCACCCCAUUUCAUCAGUUAGGAAGUAACCAUGUGUUAUAACCUGUUGUUGACUCCUACACCCUUGUUCCUCUGGAAAAUAUGAAAUGAAGCUGUUGUUCCUGAUAUUUCUUGAGAAUGGAAUUUCCCUUAGGAAUACUGAAUUUAGACCAGUCUCCUGACCACUCUGAGGUUUGUCAGAGAGCAAACAUCUCCCUUGCCCAAGCAAGAUGGCUCCCACCUCCUGGAGAAAUGGCUCAUGAGGAACACUACAGCCUCCAACAAAAAUGUAACUCUAGUUUGUCCUUCACGUGUGAAGCCAAUAAGGAUUCUCUACCACAGUUUUUGAACAUAUUUCCAAGUAUGGCAGGGUGCAGUGGCAGGCACAUAAUAGGACUUUUUGGCAUGUAUUAGACUGUGCUCAACAACUCUGCUCUCUGAACCAAACAUGCCCACCAAAAAUAACUUCAGUGAACAGUUUUUAUUUAAUUAUUCCAGCGUGGGACUCGUGAAGUUUUGCCAACAGUCUGGUACUGGUGCAUUUUUCCAUCUGUGAUUAAAAAUAUAGAUAAUGAAGAAACUGUUGUCUUACUUUAAGUGCAAAGAGAACAGAACCAGAAGCUGUGCUUUAUAGGAAGCAGGGGGAUGCUGCAAUAUUUAAACUUGAACUACUGCACACCAGCUAAAAUGCCCUUCUUCCUUCCCGUUCUCCUCACAAUGGAGGACCAUGAAGCUGCCUUUACUUGCUGAGUAACUCAGAUUCCUGUGGAGGAGUAAAACAGCCUAAAGCUCUCAGCUUCUGAUAAACCCAGCGACUCAUUGUCCAGCUUCCUGUUCCUGAUAUGCAGAACACAUGUCAGAACAACUGGAGGGAUGACAACAAUGAGAGAUGAAAAAUGGGUACCAUUGGCAUUACAUACUCCCAGGGCAACUAGUAUUUGGAAACAGCAAAGUUUUUGGAAUUCAGCACUGUUGCUUAAGUACUGCUGUGGGCUGAAAGAGUUAAUCCACUCUAGUGGAGUGGCAAAUAAGACUGUCCCCAAAGACAUGCCUGCUGCUGACUAUUCUACAAGUCCAGCUACAGGAGAAGCAAAGGCCUCUGCUACAGGCACAAGUGUCCUAAAAGUCAGAUGCAGAAAUUCUUCUGGAAGAGAUACCACCCAGUUUCGGACUAGCAUACUUGGUGCUGUUUAUCACGGCAAAUGGACAGGUUUGAGCACCAGCACAAUCUACUUCCUUCUUUGGACUUUUUUUGGCUCAGUUUUGGCAUGGACUGAUCACCUUCUCCCAGCUGAUGGCCAAACACCAUUUGGAUGAUUGCUGUGGACCUAAGGCUCUUCUCAAGAGGUGCUCAAGAUGCUACUCAGUAUUUGAUGAAUUCCACGACUUUUGUCAUCGCUGCUAGUGCUCUAUGGCCGAUGUGGGAAUAUGUUUAAACAGAAGGCUGAAAAUCAGUUUGCAGCUGUAAAACCAGGGUCAUGCUCUUAUGGGAAUACUUGGCUAAGUCUGUUCCAUGUUUUGUACUGAAUGGCUCUGGAUCUGAAGCGCUCUGGGAAAAUACCUACAGAGCUGAAGACCUGAAUGCACAAGGCAGAAUUAUAUACCUGGGUUAAAAGCAAGAGCACCCACAGGUAUGGACUAAAGGGUGGUUGUGUGAACACACACCUUCUACAGAACAGAGAAGAAUUGUGAAGGCCUCUUCCCUCUAGAACACCCAGUUCUGCUUGGGAAGAAUGUAAGUCUGCCUUCAACUUGUGGAUACACAAGAACAUACACCUUAAUCCAUGUAGGAAAACUCCUGGACUGAAAUACGUCUCCAUCCAAGAAGACUACCUGAGUAUCAACAAGUGUGCCACACAUCAGCAGUGGCUGUAGAAGACCAAACAUCUUCAGAGAAACUACUCUGAGAUCAUUCUGCUCCUCAACUCCACCACUGAAGCUGAACUGCAUCCCUAUUUAGCAAGUUUUAAUAAUCUGCCUCGGAAGAGGAUGGUUCCUGAAAACAGAUGUAUAGCUCUCUUUCAAUCACUCUAUAUAUCCAUAAAUUAAUUCCCUUUUUGUUAGGUUGCAUGUUAUGUUAAGAAGUUCUUUAAGCUAGCUUCCCAAGCAGGCUUCUAACUGACCACUAAGUAUAGGUCACA
ensembl:lncRNA